GCGACCAACCGGUGAGGAGAAGCCCUGCUGGCACGGCCGGAGUUGCCCAACCGGUGAUCUUCGGUGUCCAUGCCGGCCAUCUGGCGUGCGUACAGAGGAGGAAGGAGGAAGAAGGUGACUGACUUGCGGGCCCUGAGAAAAAUAAACAAACUCAACUUUCUCCCCUCAAUUGACCCCUCUACACGUGUCCAAAAAUUACCCAAAAAUACUCGUUGGAAAGAUAAAAUCACAAAGAAUACAAUGCCAC
rnacentral:lncRNA from 1 species